UCGAGUUUUGACUGGGUUGUAGCUGGCCUUCCGAGGCAUGUGCACGCCCUGCUCAUCCACUCUACACCUGUGCACUUACUGUGGGUAUCAGAUCGUGAAGCGUGCUCUUUUACUGGAGCUUGUGAAGCGUGUCUGUGCCUGCGUUUAUCACAAACACUAUAAAGUAUCAGAAAUUAUUAAAAAUUUA
rnacentral:misc_RNA from 1 species